rnacentral:rRNA from 1 species
GUGCCAGCCGCCGCGGUAAUACGGAGGGUGCGAGCGUUGUCCGGAAUCACUGGGCGUAAAGGGCGCGUAGGUGGUCGGGUAAGCGUGUGGUGAAAGCUCGGGGCUCAACCCCGAGUCGGCCAUGCGAACUGCUCGACUUGAGCACUGUAGAGGCAGACGGAAUUCCGGGUGUAGCGGUGGAAUGCGUAGAGAUCCGGAAGAACACCGGUGGCGAAGGCGGUCUGCUGGGCAGUUGCUGACACUGAGGCGCGACAGCGUGGGGAGCAAACAGGAUUAGAAACCCCUGUAGUCC